rnacentral:rRNA from 1 species
AAGUGGCGGACGGGUGAGUAACGCGUGAGGAACCUGCCUUGAAGAGGGGGACAACAGUUGGAAACGACUGCUAAUACCGCAUGAAGCAUAGGGGUCGCAUGAUUCUUAUGCCAAAGAUUUAUCGCUUCAAGAUGGCCUCGCGUCUGAUUAGCUAGUUGGCGGGGUAACGGCCCACCAAGGCGACGAUCAGUAGCCGGACUGAGAGGUUGAACGGCCACAUUGGGACUGAGAUACGGCCCAGACUCCUACGGGAGGCAGCAGUGGGGAAUAUUGGGCAAUGGGCGCAAGCCUGACCCAGCAACGCCGCGUGAAGGAAGAAGGCUUUCGGGUUGUAAACUUCUUUUAAGAGGGAAGAGCAGAAGACGGUACCUCUAGAAUAAGCCACGGCUAACUACGUGCCAGCAGCCGCGGUAAUACGUAGGUGGCAAGCGUUGUCCGGAUUUACUGGGUGUAAAGGGCGUGCAGCCGGGUCUGCAAGUCAGAUGUGAAAUCCAUGGGCUCAACCCAUGAACUGCAUUUGAAACUGUAGAUCUUGAGUGUCGGAGGGGCAAUCGGAAUUCCUAGUGUAGCGGUGAAAUGCGUAGAUAUUAGGAGGAACACCAGUGGCGAAGGCGGAUUGCUGGACGAUAACUGACGGUGAGGCGCGAAAGUGUGGGGAGCAAACAGGAUUAGAUACCCUGGUAGUCCACACUGUAAACGAUGAAUACUAGGUGUGCGGGGACUGACCCCCUGCGUGCCGCAGUAAACACAAUAAGUAUUCCACCUGGGGA